rnacentral:antisense_RNA from 1 species
CUUCAACGACCCCAACCACAACGGACGCUCCCGACCCUGCCCAUACGUGGCCAACAACGCCUGCACCUC